AGCGAACGCUGGCGGUAGGCCUAACACAUGCAAGUCGAACGGCAGCACAGUAAGAGCUUGCUCUUACGGGUGGCGAGUGGCGGACGGGUGAGGAAUACAUCGGACUCUACUUUUUCGUGGGGGUUAACGUAGGGAAACUUACGCUAAUACAGCAUACGACCUACGGGUGAAAGCAGGGGGUAUUCGGACCUUGCGCGAUUGAAUGAGCCGAUGUCGGAUUAGCUAGUUGGCGGGGUAACAGCCCACCAAUGCGACGAUCCGUAGCUGGUCUGAGGGGAGGAUCAGCCACUGAGGAGCUGACACACCGCCCAGACUCUUACGUGAGGCAGCAGCGGGGAAUAUAGGACAAUGUGCGCAAGCCUGAACCAUCCGUACCGGGUGGGUGAAGAAGGCCUGCGUGUGGUAUAGCCCUUUUGUUGUGAAAGAAAAGCAGCAGGUUAAAACCCGGCUGUUCUGACGGUACCCAAAGAAGAAGCACCGGCUAACUGCGU
rnacentral:rRNA from 1 species